rnacentral:tRNA from 1 species
GCCUACGUGGUGUAGUGGUCAACACGCCGGACAUGCAUUCCAGAGGUCUGUGGUUCGAGUCUCGGCGAAGGCG